GAGCGCUCCGUGGGCAGCCGGCGGGCUCCGAGGCCGUGAGCGCAAAGCCUCAGGCCCCGGCUCCCUCCUGAGCUGCGCCGUGCCAGGCCGCCCGCCGGGAUGCAGUGGGCCGUGGGCCGGCGGUGGGCGUGGGCCGCGCUGCUGCUGGCUGUCGCAGCGGUGCUGACCCAGGUCGUCUGGCUCUGGCUGGGUACGCAGAGCUUCGUCUUCCAGCGCGAAGAGAUAGCGCAGUUGGCGCGGCAGUACGCUGGUGAGCGGGCAGAGGGCAGGGAGGGGAGCGGCCGGCCUGGGAGCGGAGCCUAGGGUUCCGAAGGCGCCAUCCCCGGUCCUAGGACCUGUGCCAGCCCUGACUCCGCCGCCCCUCUGCCUCCGCCAGGGCUGGACCACGAGCUGGCCUUCUCUCGGCUGAUCGUGGAGCUGCGGCGGCUGCACCCAGGCCACGUGCUGCCCGACGAGGAGCUGCAGUGGGUGUUCGUGAAUGCGGGUGGCUGGAUGGGCGCCAUGUGCCUUCUGCACGCCUCGCUGUCCGAGUAUGUGCUGCUCUUCGGCACCGCCUUGGGCUCCCGCGGCCACUCGGGGGAGACGGUAGUACACGGGCCUGGUGAGGCAACAGCUGUGGAGUGGGGGCCAAACACAUGGAUGGUGGAGUACGGCCGGGGCGUCAUCCCAUCCACCCUGGCCUUCGCGCUGGCCGACACUGUCUUCAGCACCCAGGACUUCCUCACCCUCUUCUAUACUCUUCGCUCCUAUGCUCGGGGCCUCCGGCUUGAGCUCACCACCUACCUCUUCGGCCAGGACCCUUGACCAGCCAGGCCUGAAGGAAGACCUGUGGAUGGACAGGAGCGGGCAGGCCCGCACAUAUCCACUUGCUGGAGCCCAUGUUUACAGACAGGGACAUACACCAUGCAGAUCCUGAGUUCCUGCUGUAUGAGCAGGGAU
rnacentral:sRNA from 1 species